AUACGGAGGAUGCAAGCGUUAUCCGGAUUUAUUGGGUUUAAAGGGUGCGUAGGCGGAUGAUUAAGCGUGAGGUGAAAUGCCACUGCUCAACAGUGGAACUGCCUCGCGAACUGGUUGUCUUGAAUGCUCCUGCCGUGGGAGGAAUGUGUGGUGUAGCGGUGAAAUGCAUAGAGAUCACACAGAACACCGAUUGCGAAGGCAUCUCAAGAAAGGGUGAAUGACGCUGAGGCACGGAAGCGUGGGGAUCAAACAAGAUUAGAUUCCCUGGUAGUCUACGCAGUAAACGAUGAUAACUAACCGCUGGGUCGUAGUGAUUCAGUGGCCAAGCGAAAGCGAUAAGUUAUCCACCUGGGGAGUACGACCGCAAGGUUGAAACUCAAAGGAAUUGACGGGG
rnacentral:rRNA from 1 species